rnacentral:piRNA from 1 species
CAAAAGUGCGUGAGAACCACAUCGUCCUCCUA